rnacentral:sRNA from 1 species
GAUGCAAAUCUCAUCCACCUCAUCAAAUGGCAACUACGCGAAUAUCGAACGGAUGACAGUUUCAUGUCCGCCGGAGACUUUCGACGAGACCGUACCUCUUAAACAAAUAAAAAAAGAGCUCACUUUCGUAAUAGAACGGCCUGAAAAACCAGGAGAAGUGAGUUUUUCUUAACUGAAAUUCGGAAAAUUCCAAAAUUUUCCAGACAUCCUCGCAUCACGGCAGCAAACGAAGUUCCGUCUGCUAUGAAGGCGACGAGGAGUACGAUAAUGUGGAUGACGACGUGGCGAUUGCAGAGAAUCGGCACAUUUCUGAAAAUUUGGAGCAUUUUGAAGAGCCCGUGAGCACGAUGAGAGCUCAGAAUUCGGUGAAAUUUGCGGAUAAUAUAGUGGAAAAUCAUCCGGAGACUGAUAGAUUCGGAUUUUUUACGAUACAAAAUAAAUGGUAAGAAUUUUUUUUUUGAAUUUUCAUGUCAAAAUUCGAGUUCAUCACCCCAAAAUUACCCCACUACAAAAGUUUCAGCUCAUUUGGAGCCAAUGUCGUAAGAUCUGGUGUAUUGGGGUACGGUAGUCGGUGUUUGCGUACUUUCGGAGUUACAGUACCCCUCAAAACUUCAAAUUAGAGCUAGAGACUUUAAACAAAAUCGUGGAAGGCCCAAAUGUUACGCUAAAUCCGAAUUUGUUGAUUUUUCUUAUAAAUAAUGUGUGUGAAACCAAAAUUAAAAAAAAAAACAGUUUUUUAAACAAUGAAUUUUGGCGACAAUAUUUAAAUUGGUGACUUUUCAUGUCAAAGUUCGGAUUCAGCACCCCAAAAUUACCCCACCAGCAAAAUUUCAGCUCAUUUGGAGCCAAUGUCGUAAGAUCUGGUGUUCUGGGGUACGGUAGUUGGUGUUUGCGUACUUUCGAAGGUACAGUACCCCUGAAAACUGCAAAUUAGAGCUAGAGAUCUCAAGUAAAAUAGUAAAACCCAAAUUUUACGCUGAAUUCGAGUUUGAAAUUAAAAUUUUCUUAACAUUCAAAAUUUCAGCUCCACGCCGCCAAUAGACUCAAAAAUUCUACGACGACGAGAGAAAAAAUGGAUUCAAAUGCUCGACAACUGGCGGUACUUCAUGGAUGAAAAAUUUGAAUUAGUGAAGAAUCGAUGUCGAAAAGGGAUUCCGCCGAGCCUACGAGGCCGGGCGUGGAAAUAUUUAAGCGGUGCCACGUACCAGAUGGAAGUAUCUUCAAAUCGAUUUGUUUUUGAUGUGAGUUUUUGUUUUUCACAAGUUUCCCGUCAAAAAUUUGUAAAAUUAAUAUCAAAAUCGAAGUUAGCAUAAAAUUUCAGUCUAGAACUAUUUUAAUAGAGUUCUGUAGCUUAAUUUUGAAAUUUCGAAGGAUACUGUAGCCCCGGAAGUACGCAAACACCGACUACCGUACCCCAAUACACCAGAUCUUACGACAUUGGCUCCAAAUGAGCUGAAAUGUUGGUGUUGGGGUAAUUUCGGGGUGCUGAAUCCGAAUCUUGUCAUAAAAAUUUACGAAUUCAAAUAUUUUCGCCGAUUUCCACUGUUCAAAAAACUAUUUUCUAAAAUUUUGGUUUCACAUAAAUUAUUCAUAAGAAAACUUGAUAAAUUCGAGUUCAGCGUAAAAUUUGGGUCUUACACUAUUUUGUUUGAAGUCUCUAGCUCAAUUUUAAAAUUUCGAGGGGUACUGUAAGCCCGAAAAGUACGCAAACACCGACUACCAAACCCCAAUACACCAGAUCUUACGAAAUUGGCUCCAAAUGAGCUGAAAUUUUUGGGCUAGGCUAAUUUUGGCGUGCUGAUUUCAAAUUUCGCAUUAAAAUUUUUGUGAAACUGACAGUUUUCAAGAAAAUCGCACAAAUACUAAUUUCAGUACUGUGUCAAACAAGCCGGUGACCCGAAAUGGAACGACGAUAUACAGAAGGACUUGAGCCGCCAGUUUCCGGAACACGAAAUGUUUGCCAGGGUGGGAAAGUACGGAAAUAAUGGGUGAGUUUGAUUUUAAGGGUCCCGCCACGAAAAGGGGUACUGUAGCAGUGAUUUUAGCUGUGUCAAAAAUUUCCAAAAUGACCGGAACCUAGGCAUGAUUAUACUUUUCUGAAAGCUGAAAAUUUGCUGAUUUCAAAAAAAUUAUUUUGAAACAGAUUAGAGUACUGUAGACCAAAGUACGGUAGUUUUUUUCCAGGAAAAACGACCUUUUCGACUUGCUCAAAGCCUGGACAAUUCUCCAUCCGGAAGAGGGCUACUGUCAAGGACAGGCUCCAAUUGCAGCGGUUCUCCUGAUGCACAUGCCGGUCCGCGACGCCUUCUACUGUUUUGUGCAGAUCUGUCAUAAGUACCUGCCCGGGUACUACAGCAGUGGCCUGGAAGCCGUACAAACCGAUGGGGAUAUACUGACGAAGUUGAUAAAGGACAGGAGUAAACUUACCUACAGACAUUUUGUGAGUUUUCGGAAAAAAUUUGAUUUGAGAAAAAAAAAGCAAAAAAAAAAUUUUUCUCGAAAAAUUCAAAAAAAAAAAAUGUUUCUCUUCACUUCCUUGAAAAUUCAUGUUAAUAUUCGAGUUCUACGCAAAAAUUGGCUUUAAACCUUUUUUAGUUGAGGUUUCUAGCUCAAUUUUUAAAAUUCAAGGAUACUGUAGCUCCAAAUGUACGCAAACACCAACUACACACCAGAUCUUACGACAUUGGCCUGAAACAAGCUAAAAUUUGUGGGUCAGAGUAAUUUUGAGGUGCUGAACUCGAAUUUUGUAUUGAAAACCUGCAAAACCCACUAGUUUUCACGUAAAAAUGUUUUUUUGUAACAUUUUGCAUCUACAGUAACCCGAUAGCUGUUGGGUUUCAAAAAUUUAAAAGUUUAAAUUUGGAUUUACCACCUUAAAUUUACCCUAUCCCGCUUAUGAAUAAGGUGUGUGAAACCGAAAUUUUAGAAAAUAAUUUUUUAAACAGUGAAUUUCGGCGAAAAUAUUUGAAUUCGUAAAUUUUUAUAACAAAAUUCGGAUUCAGCUCCCCGAAAUUACCCUAACACCAAUAUUUCAGCUCAUUUGGAGCCAAUGUCGUAAGAUCUGGUGUAUUAGGGUACGGUACUCCGUGUUUGCGUACUUUUGGGGCUACAGUACCCCUUGAAAUUUCAAAAUCAAGCUAGAGACUUUAAACAAAAUAGUGUAAGACCAAAAUUUUACGCUGAAGUCGAAUUUAUUAAGUUUUCUUAUGAAUGAAUCCCAGAUCCGCAGUGCAUAGCGCUUGAAGAACGGAUCGUCCUUUAAUCCUUUAAUCCUUUUUUUAAUGUGUGUGAAACCAAAAUUUUAAAAAAUAGUUUUUUAGACAGCAAAUUUCGGCGAAAAUAUUUGAAUUCGUAAAAUUUUAUGACAAAAUUCGGAUUCAGCACCCCAAAAUUAACCUAACACAAACAUUUCAGCUCAUUUCGAGCCAAUGUCGUAAGGUAUGGUGUAUUGGGGUACGGUAGUCGGUGAUUGCGUACUUUUGGGGCUACAGUACCCCUUGAAAUUUCAAAAUCAAGCUAGAGACUUUAAACAAAAUAGUGUAAGACCAAAAUUUUACGCUGAAGUCGAAUUUAUUAAGUUUUCUUAUGAAUAAUGUGUGUGAAACCAAACUUUUAGAAAAUAGUUUUUUAGACAGCAAAUUUCGGCGAAAAUAUUUGAAUUCGUAAAUUUUUAUGACAAAAUUCGGAUUCAGCACCCCAAAAUUAACCUAAUACAAACAUUUCAGCUCAUUUCGAGCCAAUGUCGUAAGGUAUGGUGUAUUGGGGUACGGUAGCCGGUGAUUGCGUACUUUUGGGGCUACAGUACCCCUGGAAAUUUUAAAAUUAAGCUAGAAACUUCUUCUCAAAAGUUUUAAAACCCAAAUUUUGCGUUGAACUUGAAUUUCACAUUAACUUGAAGUUUUGAAACGUUUUUAGUCUAGAAAAAUGUGAAAAAAUUUCGCUCAAAAUUUUUUUGUACAGAUUUGCCGAUUAUCGAUGUUUUUUUCUUGCAGAAAGCCAACGGAGUCGACCCAGCGUUAUACAUGAUCGAGUGGUUUAUGUGCUGCUUUUGCCGAACACUACCCUGGCCUACAGUACUCCGCGUAUGGGACAUGUUCCUGUGCGAGGGCGUCAAGAUUCUGUUCAAAGUGGCGCUGGUGCUACUGAAAUUCGGAAUUGGGACGCCGUCACAGAUUAAACAGUACCCCGAUAUGCCUGCAAUUGUGACCCGGUUACGGAAUUUACCUGUAGAAAUUAUGGAGGAAGAGUUCUUGGUGCAAAAG